rnacentral:rRNA from 1 species
UACGUAGGGGGCAAGCGUUGUCCGGAAUCAUUGGGCGUAAAGAGCGCGUAGGCGGUUUGUCGCGUCUGCCGUGAAAGUCCGGGGCUCAACUCCGGAUCUGCGGUGGGUACGGGCAGACUAGAGUGAUGUAGGGGAGACUGGAAUUCCUGGUGUAGCGGUGAAAUGCGCAGAUAUCAGGAGGAACACCGAUGGCGAAGGCAGGUCUCUGGGCAUUAACUGACGCUGAGGAGCGAAAGCAUGGGGAGCGAACAGG